CAGUCGCCGCGGGAAUACGAAGGGGGCUAGCGUUGCUCGGAAUUACUGGGCGUAAAGGGCGCGUAGGCGGACAGCUUAGUCAGAUGUGAAAUCCCCGGGCUCAACCUGGGAACUGCAUUUGAGACUGUAUGGCUAGAGUGUGUCAGAGGGGGGUAGAAUUCCACGUGUAGCAGUGAAAUGCGUAGAUAUGUAGAGGAAUACCGAUGGCGAAGGCAGCCCCCUGGGAUAACACUGACGCUCAUGCACGAAAGCGUGGGGAGCAAACAGGAUUAGAUACCCCUGUAGUCCCUGUCUCUUAUAC
rnacentral:rRNA from 1 species